UGUCCUCUGCCUUGAGCGACAGCGUGCAAAACAUUCGCCUUGUCCCUUAAGAACGACACCGGGGCUGCAACCCGGCCCGGCGUGCAUGUCCGCCACGAGCGGAAAGCCCGACGGCCAGCGAGCAAUCCCACUUGAACCCGCAGGUUCAAGGUCGUUUCGCCGCAUCGCCACGGCGGAGGAUGC
rnacentral:other from 1 species